AAAACUUUCAACAACGGAUCUCUUGGUUCUCGCAUCGAUGAAGAACGCAGCGAAAUGCGAUACGUAAUGUGAAUUGCAGAAUUCCGUGAAUCAUCGAAUCUUUGAGCGCACAUUGCGCCCCUUGGUAUUCCAUGGGGCAUGCCUGUUUGAGCGUCAU
rnacentral:rRNA from 1 species